CUCAGAUGGCCCUCUCACUCGGCCCUGAGGAAAAGGACACUGUGGCCACGGCUUCUAAUCUCCCAGAGACGCAACUGACUGUCCAGAGAUCGCCACUGCCUCGAGGAUCCCCAGAAGUGGUCAAGCAGUUUCAGCCUCCUGUGACAGUAGAAAUUACCAGCAGUCUUGAGUGAACGGACGGUCCAGAGAAGACCACAGAGUCCUGCCUCGGGGUCCUAGGAGUGGCCAAGUGAGUUCAGCCUGCUGUGAAAAUUGCCAGCGGAAUGAGUUGGAGGACGAUUCAGAGAACACAACAGGCUCCUGCUUCAGGGGCAAGCAGCUUUAGCCUCCUGUGGAAAUUGCCAACUUUGCGAUUUGAGUAACGGGUAAGACUUUUUUUUUUCCCAGUAAUGGUUAUCAUGCAGGCUGUGUGACAGGUCUAGAAAAGUGUUUGCAACUGUACGAUUGCAUAAUGUGUUAACUUGCGGUGCUUCUUGGCUUUGGUUGCAUGUCCU
ensembl:lncRNA